AGUUUGUCCCUAGAACUGUUCAUCAGGCAGAUACCCAGGUAGCUCCCCAACGUGUCCAGCAUUAAAUAUGUUAUGCAGAUUAAAAGGAAAACGUUACGAGACACAGUUUUGAUUUCAGAUCUUUCAUUUAUAUUUUACCUCCUCUCUCAAUAAAAAAAUAAUAUAAGGCACCCACACCCUUUUGAAGCUUCCCUGGGUUAAGUAGGACUGUAGAGAUUAAAGGCUGGAGAUUAAUGAUGUACAUUUUAUUAUAAAUACUCGCUGCUUAAAUUCACCCUUCAAAGACACAAUGUAAUCUGUUGGAGGGAAAUGGAUUUUUUUUUUUUUUAACCUAAACAGAAAUAGCAGUUUUACAGCAUUGCCAUGCAGAACACAAUCAGAUUUAAUCUCUAACUGCAACGCCACCGUGCUCAAGCCUUGUUUCAGACAUAAUUUCAUCGACAUAAACAUAAAGAUACAAUAACUUUGCUGCACACACCAGGCAAUGUUGUCUUGUUAGACCGAAGAGUUUUAAGACUGCCAUAAAAGUGUGAAUCAGUGCUUCUCUCCGGCCAAAUCUGUGGGACAGAGCCAUGCUAGGAGAGGAUUUGAAAGCCUAAAUCAAGUGCUACAGUGAAAUAAGAUGGAAAACCCGACGCCUUUCCCACAAUCCUCAUUUUUCAAGGAGUGAAGAAUGAUCAAAUAAUGAAUUCACACCUUUCCAGCUCCCUGGGAAAAGUCCCUGCUAUGGAGGCAACCUCCAAUUUUGAUUUUUUUUUUUGGUCCACUCAGUUGCUUCUUGGUUGAGGGACACCCCCCAUUUCCUGGAACACGAGGGGCAGGUUUUGACACCUGCAGAAGAGCCUCAGUCUCUGUUUUCAGCAGAUCCUCAGCCCCAAAAUCUGCCAGGAGAGAGAUUUCCUGGCCAGAAACGUCCAGGAUGGAAGGCUGGGAAGGGGAUUCUUGCAGAGGGAUGUUGUGAUUUUGGUGGGAAGGACACAAAGGACUCUUUGCCAUGGCCAGGGGUUGGCAUCUCCCACACUCCUUUCCACCUGCUCGAGCUGAACCUAUUAAAAACUUCCAAAGAAACCCAUGGAUAAUUCUUGCUACUUCCCUGCUUUUGGAUGAGGCUGGAAUUUUUCUGCCUGAACACCGCCUUAAUUGGUUGCUUUUCACUGGCCCAACUGGGAAGAAUAAACGCCAAGGGUUUGAUGAAUACCUAGCUGGUAGCAUACCAUUUGCCAUUUUUCACAUUAGCUCUUAA
rnacentral:lncRNA from 1 species